CAGAUUGAACGCUGGCGGCAUGCCUUACACAUGCAAGUCGAACGGCAGCACGGGGGCAACCCUGGUGGCGAGUGGCGAACGGGUGAGUAAUGCAUCGGAACGUGCCCAGUAGUGGGGGAUAACUAGUCGAAAGAUUAGCUAAUACCGCAUACGACCUAUGGGUGAAAGCGGGGGAUUCGCAAGAACCUCGCGCUAUCGGAGCGGCCGAUGUCUGAUUAGCUAGUUGGACGGGUAAAGCCCACCAAGGCUUCGAUCAGUAGCUGGUCUGAGAGGACGACCAGCCACACUGGGACUGAGACACGGCCCAGACUCCUACGGAGGCAGCA
rnacentral:rRNA from 1 species